GAUAAGAACGCAGCGAAAUGCGAUAAGUAAUGCGAAUUGCAGAAUUCCAGUGAGUCAUCGAAUCUUUGAACGCACAUUGCGCCCUUUGGUAUUCCGAAGGGCAUGCCUGUUCGAGCGUCAUUAUCACCCCUCAAGCCCUCGGCUUGGUGUUGGACGGUUUGGUGGAGGCCCCCUCGGGGGUUCCUGCCCCUCCCAAAGACAAUGACGGCGGCCUCGUUGGACCCCCGGUACACUGAGUUCUUCACGGGACACGUAUCGGACACAUGGGUUUACGGGACACGGUCUGCCUCCCCUCAGGGAGAAUCUUUCUAAGGUUGACCUCGGAUCAGGUAGGGAUACCCGCUGAACUUAAGCAUAUCAAUAAGCGGAGGA
rnacentral:misc_RNA from 1 species